rnacentral:lncRNA from 1 species
CUUAGAGUGAAGGGGAAAAUAUUAUACAGAAAAGAGAAUUAAUGAAAUCAUUCUUUACCAAGGUUUACCAAGGUUGAAUUCUGUGCUUGAGUAUGUAUAUCUUCUUAUGCAAAAGCAAUUAUAAGCAAAUUAGAUACCAAAAGAAAUAAUUGAAAUCUAAGCUUAAACAACGGUCUUUUCUUUUCCCUGAAUCUGCAAAGUACACAUCCAGAAUUGUUAACUACACUGAUAGCUGUUUGAGUUUGGAAUUAAAUUGUACCAGUUACUAAUAUUUCUCAUCUAUCAAAAGAUUUGCAGCAACACAUACUGGGGCCAUUUUUCUCUCUUGGAAAUUGCCUUUAUGCUUAGCCAGAGAAGAAAUGAGCCUGAAAAUUAAUUCACAUGGCAUUUUAACCAAUAGUCAGUAAUUUCUGUUCUGCAAGCAAGAAGCAAGCCCAAUGCAUUUAGGAAUGAUUUUUCCCAAAAGCCAUUCUGUUAGCUGCCAUUCUGAAGUGAACUAAUCAAUUUCCAUGUUAGACAUUUUUACCAAAUAAAACUCUUAUUUUUAUUAAGAUUCCAGUAUAUAAGCUGAUUUUUAUUCAUCAUAGGAGCAGCUUUCAUUUCAUUUUUGCCAAACUUCAUAUGAACCCCUUCCAAUAUUUGAGGAUCUCCAUACCUUAUGAAACUUUUUAGUUAGUACAUUUGACCUUGUUAUUGAAACUGAAAAAGCUAGACACAUGCUCUCUCUGUCUUCUUAUCACCAAGGGCUCUACCAAUCAGAGCACUAACUCAGAAGUUUAAAGUGACUUUAAAAACCUUAUUUUGGUAGUGGCAACAGUUGCCAGAGGCAAGGUGAUACUCAGAGCAAGCUGGGG